AUUGAACGCUGGCGGAAUGCUUUACACAUGCAAGUCGAACGGUAGAGGGGGCAACCCCUCGAGAGUGGCGAACGGGUGAGUAAUAUAUCGGAACGUGCCCAGUCGUGGGGGAUAACGUAGCGAAAGUUACGCUAAUACCGCAUACGAUCUAAGGAUGAAAGCAGGGGAGCACUUGUGACCUUGCGCUAAUAGAUGAGCCUAAGUCGGAUUAGCUAGUUGGUGGGGUAAAGGCCUACCAAGGCGACGAUCUGUAGCGGGUCUGAGAGGAUGAUCCGCCCCACUGGGACUGAGACACGGCCCAGACUCCUACGGGAGGCAGCAGUGGGGAAUAUUGGACAAUGGGGGGAACCCUGAUCCAGCCAUGCCGCGUGUGUGAAGAAGGCCUUAUGGUUGUAAAGCACUUUAAGCGAGGAGGAGGCUCUUUUGGUUAAUACCCAAGAUGAGUGGACGUUACUCGCAGAAUAAGCACCGGCUAACUCUGUGCCAGCAGCCGCCGUAA
rnacentral:rRNA from 1 species